AGAAGGAAUCACGUGUCCUGUGGAUGGAAGUGGAGUGGAUAAAUCAACCAUGGCUGAGAUAGGGAUGUAGGGAGUUUUCUUGGGAGGAAAUGGGACUGGACAGAGCCUUUCUGAGUGUAGAUGGGGAUUGAUGAGGAAACUUCCUAGGCACAAUACACAAUGUGUGAAAAAUAUGCAGAGGUAGGGGACAGAUGAGUUUGGGAAAGUGAGCACUUUAGUGUGUCUGAACCUUCAUGUGAAGCAUGAAUUACUAUUAGAUCAGAGAGUGGAAGAGUACUUGUGCAGAUCCUUAAUAUCAAGAAUUUGGACUUUAUCUGUUAAGCACACUCUGCUGGGUUUUGAGUAAGAAAGUCACACAAGAGAAAGGAAUAAGGACAGCAGUGCAGAAGACUCAGUGGAAGAAUAGGCAGGCCAUAUUAAAACAUUCCAGGUGUUUCUGAUUUUACAUGUUGCUUUUCAUUCUUCUAAAUCCACGAUGGGAAAAGUCGAUGCCAAGUUGAGUCAUGACAUGACCUGUGUCAAUUUAGUCUCUGUGUCUUUUAAGUGGAGUUAAGAAGGACAAAAGAACAGUAUAAUCAGGUUUGCUGUUGUGCACAUGCCCCACACAUUCUGAUUGUCCUUCAACUGUUGAUCUUCUCUUUUGAGCUUGUACCUAGAGAGACCAGCCCGAUUAGUGUAUGAUGUCUCUCCCUGUUGCAGUAUUUAGUUGUUUGAACAAACACAAAUCUUUCUAGAAUAUAUUGCCCUAUCACAUUUUCUGGCCAGGCACUGAAAAGCAUCCUUGGUAAAACACAACUUGAUAUGUAGUCAAUAGAGUGAAUAAAGAAUUAAGAAUUGAUAUUUACUUUGUAUAAAUUAUGCAGUCAAAUUUAUUGCAGAAAAAUUCUUAAGGGGCAAUUGACAGAUUUAGUUUCCUUAACUCCUGCACUAAUCUUAAGGGGUAAUUGGUAUGUAUUAUUUACUAUUUUUUUGCUCUAACAGGUGUUUCUAAAGGCUGUGAGAAGAGAAUCAGAAGUUGCAGUUUAUUAAAAUCCCUCACAGUUGUAAGUGUACUUGCAGGUGAAGAAGAGAACCUUAUCUGGUCUGUAAUAAAGCCUGAAAGUCAUGUAUAUAAGGGUUAAGACCUAGAGAACUUCCUUGGAACUAAUGAAUUCUGAUGAAAGAGAAAAAAAUGUUUGAACAAAAAUAACUCUUUCCAAAUACUGUAAGUAAUUUGUAAUUUGUCUAUUAUAGCUUUUCAAGAUAAGUCAUUCUUUCCUCAAAUAAGCACGCUUCAGUAGCUAAGAUCUUAGCUCCUAUUGUUUCUAUGGCUUAAGAGCUGAUCUUUCUGU
rnacentral:lncRNA from 1 species